rnacentral:misc_RNA from 1 species
GAUGAAGAACGUAGCGAAAUGCGAUAAGUAAUGUGAAUUGCAGAAUUCAGUGAAUCAUCGAAUCUUUGAACGCACCUUGCGCUCCUUGGUAUUCCGAGGAGCAUGCCUGUUUGAGUGUCAUUAAAUUCUCAACCUCACCAGUUUUGUAACGAGACAGGUGAAGGCUUGGAUGUGGGGGUUUUGCAGGCUGCCUCAGUGCUGGUCUGCUCUCCUGAAAUGCAUUAGCGAGCUCAUAUUGAGCUUCCGUCUAUUGGUGUGAUAAUUAUCUACGCCGUGGAUUGGACUCAUGCUUGCUUCUAACCGUCCGCAAGGACAAUUUACUUGACCAAUUUGACCUCAAAUCAGGUAGGACUACCCGCUGAACUUAAGCAUAUCAAAAGCGGAGGA